UUCAGUACGGGCCGUUCCGGGUGCAUCAGAAUGCCUAUAAAUAGGGCCCUAGGGUAUUUGGAAAUUCAUAACUUGGAGAAGAGGUCCUAGAGAGAGAAAGAAGAGAGAGAAAGGGAGAAAGAGAGAGAGGAGGGGAAGGAAAAGGGGAGAGAGAAGAAGAAGAAUCCAGUAGAGGAGGUUCUGCCUAAGGAGAGAAAGGAGGAGGAAGAUAGAGGAGGUUCUACUCUAGUUCCGGUCCGGUUUAAGAAAAAGAGGAGGAGGUUCUGCCUGAGUUCCUAUUUAUCCAGGUGGAGAAGAUCCGGCUACGAGUGGCAUCUAGAAUGCCAACUGUUUUAUUUUGGGAAAUGCUCUGAUAUUGUGACAUCGGGGCAAAGGAUUUUUAGGAUGAAAUAUUUAUGUGAAUUUGGUACUGUAAUAUUAUUUUGAAAACAAUUUGUAAAGAAUCUUGUGUUUUAUGUUUGAUAUUUCAAUUAGUGUAGUUGUUGAAGUUUCUUA